GGGGAGGACGCAUCCGCACGGCGCCGGCGCGGGGCGGGAGAUGAGGGUCGGGCAAUCCAGAAACCAUCCAGACCUUCUGCAGAUGAUGUCUCCUGCCAAGAGCAGCAGGAGAGGCUGAGGCAGUGGCCAGAGGCUGAGAAGAUCGGGGAGGGAUCCCACCAACAUCUGUGGCAUCAAGAUCUACCAGCUGCAAACCAGGAGUGCGGGUCCUCAUCGCUCCCGACCCCGGGGACGGAGUCUCAGCUCUUGGUGCUCCUCCUCAGAAGCAAAUCCCAUGCCGCAGAGAGCUCUUGGGUUUCAACAACAGCUUGUAAAGCCCCGAAGACCCUCAGCAGAGAGGAGCGAGGUGUUGGUGGCCUCUUCGGGAACCCAGAGCCGCCGUCGAGAAGGGAAAGGCAGCAAGUUGUGUUGAGCUGGUACGUGACUGGCAAGCCCUUCCCUCCUCCCCAGAACACAGAUAGCCCAGAAUGGGGAUGGAAAGUGCCGUGUUUCCGUAGCAACCAACAUUUUCGUGCAAGGUGCUGCACGCACUCCAUGCGUUUUGCCACCCAAGGGUGCUCCUCACCUUCCUGCUCCUCGCAGGGGGGCGUCCUGCCUGGCGGGACGCCUGCACCCGGUUGGCAGAGCAGGUCCCCGGCCCAGCACUGGGGCCACGAUGCCCCGUUGAUGCCUGGUGGGCUCCUUCACUCCUCCUCCUCCUCGCCCGCGGCGAAGGAGCCCAAAGCAACGUUGGGUGGCUUCUCGCCGUGGUGUGGUGAUGCCAGCGUGGCACCUCCCAGCAGCCUUUGCUGUGCCCAGCAUCUCCAACAUCUUCCAGCACAAACCACCAGUGGAGAUGGGUGUAACCACGGCCACCACCUCCACAGCACCCUCAGACCACGCUGGGGUGCUCCCCGCGCCCUCGGCUACGUGCAUGGCAGCUCCGGCUCCUACCCAGCCACCUUGGCUUGUCGGAGCCACACAAGGGGACACCAGCUCCAAAAAAAUCACGCAGCCCCCCCCCCCUACCCCCCGAUCGAUGUGGGACCGCCGAGAUGCUCA
rnacentral:lncRNA from 1 species